rnacentral:misc_RNA from 1 species
UUGCUGCCAUUGUUUGCAUACAGGUGAGCUUUUUUGAGAAAUCUUCUACAAUUAAUAAGUGCUUUUUCCAUCUUUCCGUUGAUGAAAUGACUGUCAUUCUGAUCUUGGUGCAUUUCCAACCUUGCCUGAUCACUACUACUUUUAUUUGGUAAAAGUUAAGAUAUAAAUCAAAUAUGCAUCUUCAUAUACUUAAACUGAUAUUUGCACUUGUUGUGGAGUUUGCCCAUGCUUGUUAUAGUUUCCUGAUUCGUUUAGAAAGAUAACACAUCUUUUUCAAAUCUAAGUAGUUGUUGAAAAAUUCUUAUCAUUGAGAGAAUUUACAAUUAUCACUUCCAAUGCUGACACCAUUUUACCUUUUCAUUUCGAGGGUAAGGAUCUUUGUCAAGCUG